UUGGAGGGCAAGUCUGGUGCCAGCAGCCGCGGUAAUUCCAGCUCCAAUAGCGUAUAUUAAAGUUGUUGCAGUUAAAAAGCUCGUAGUUGAAUUUCGGGGUUAGUAGGUUGGUCAUGCCUCUGGUAUGUACUGGUCUCACUGAUUCCUCCUUCCUGAUGAGCCGUAAUGCCAUUAAUUUGGUGUUGCGGGGAAUUUGGACUGUUACUUUGAAAAAAUUAGAGUGUUUAAAGCAAGCUAACGCUUGAAUACAUUAGCAUGGAUUAAUGAAAUAGGACGUUCGAUCCUAUUUUGUUGGUUUCUAGGAUUGACGUAAUGAUUAAUAGGGAUAGUUGGGGGCAUUAGUAUUCAAUUGUCAGAGGUGAAAUUCUUGGAUUUAUUGAAGACUAACUACUGCGAAAGCAUUUGCCAAGGAUGUUUUCAUUAAUCAAGAACGAAAGUUAGGGGAUCGAAGACGAUCAGAUACCGUCGUAGUCUUAACCAUAAACUAUGCCGACUAGGGAUCGGAUGAUGUUAAUUUUUUAAUGACUCAUUCGGCGCCUUACGGGAAACCAAAGUGUUUGGGUUC
rnacentral:rRNA from 1 species